ensembl:lncRNA
AGAACAAUGUGUCGAUGGACAACGCAUGCCGAUGUGGAAAAAUGACACCGUUGUCCUGUUUAAAAAGUUCAUCCGGGUUAAGAUUUUGGUGGAAUGCAUGGUGGAUCAUGUGUCAGCCAAUAGAAGAUACUCUGGGCAAAGCAUCCAUGCUGAUGUUGAGAAAACGGAUAGAGAAACUAUUUGCACCCAUGAUGAAAAAUCUAUAAUUAAAUCCAGUGUUAAAAAUCUAUAAUUAAAUCCUGUGUUAAAAAUCUAUAAUUAAAUCCUGUGUUAAAAAUCUAUAAUUAAAUCCUGUGUUAAAAAUCUAUAAUUAAAUCCUGUGUU